rnacentral:tRNA from 1 species
GGCCCUGUGGCCUAAUGGAUAAGGCGUCAGCCUCCUAAUUUGAAGACUGCAGGUUCGAGUCCUGCCAGGGUCG